UCUUAGGGAUGAGCGAAGAAAGUGGUUUCCUGAAAUGGAAUCUACCCCUGGUGAAGAUGCUGUGAA
rnacentral:pre_miRNA from 1 species